AGAGUUUGAUCAUGGCUCAGAACGAACGCUGGCGGCAUGCCUAACACAUGCAAGUCGAACGAGGGCUUCGGCCCUAGUGGCGCACGGGUGAGUAACGCGUGGGAACCUGCCCUGUGGUACGGAAUAACUCCGGGAAACUGGAGCUAAUACCGUAUGUGUCCUGUGGGACAAAGAUUUAUCGCCAUGGGAUGGGCCCGCGUAGGAUUAGCUUGUUGGUGGGGUAACGGCCUACCAAGGCAACGAUCCUUAGCUGGUCUGAGAGGAUGAUCAGCCACACUGGGACUGAGACACGGCCCAGACUCCUACGGGAGGCAGCAGUGGGGAAUAUUGGACAAUGGGCGCAAGCCUGAUGGAGCAACGCCGCGUGAGUGAUGAAGGCCUUCGGGUUGUAAAACUCUGUCUUCUGUGACGAACAAGUGCGUGAGUGGAAAGCUCGCACCCUGACGGUAACAGAGGAGGAAGCCACGGCUAACUACGUGCCAGCAGCCGCGGUAAUACGU
rnacentral:rRNA from 1 species